rnacentral:rRNA from 1 species
UACGAAGGGGGCUAGCGUUGUUCGGAAUUACUGGGCGUAAAGCGUAUGCAGGCGGACUUUUAAGUCGGGGGUGAAAUCCCGAGGCUCAACCUCGGAACUGCCUUCGAUACUGGAAGUCUCGAGUCCGGGAGAGGUGAGUGGAACUCCGAGUGUAGAGGUGAAAUUCGUAGAUAUUCGGAAGAACACCAGUGGCGAAGGCGGCUCACUGGCCCGGUACUGACGCUGAGGCACGAAAGCGUGGGGAGCAAACAGG